UCGCUUUGCAAGACCAAAGUUCUGAAAACAUUUUCUCUUAUAAUUGAAAAAGAACUAUAACUAUGAGAAUCAUUAAAAAUCUGCAUAGCAUAGUAAUUUUAUUGUGCAGAUAAUAAUAAGCAGAAGAUAUACUAUGAAAUAAUGUAACGCCUAAACAUUGUCGAUAUAUACAUAUAAAACCAAUGUGUGCAUUUGUCUUUACGGCCGUAUUCUGUGUCGUAGCAGUGGCAGCAGGAAUAUGGGCUAUGUUGAAAUGUUUCUUUGGUUGGUUAUUCUAAAGUUCCAGACUAAUGAUAAUGUAUUUACGGUAUAAGCUAUGCCCACUUGCCAUUAUGUGCACUAUAAUCGUUAUUUGUACGUUAUAGUGACGUUUUAUACUAUGUAAGAAAGAAAGAUAUAUAGUUUUAUACGCUUGUUUUAUAGCUGUGAAACCAGCUUGGACCAACUUCACUGUUCUGUCACGUUUUGUCGACAUACGUUUGAUAUUUUACUACAGUACGAUGGCGUAUGUCCGUCGCCGUGCUGUAAUUGUAGCAUGCGAUACUGCGUUGAUAUGUUGACGAAGCGCAACGGAGCAGUGAGGCCUCGCUUAUGGGUUAUUCUAUUUAAAUUUUGAUAUACUAAAAACAAAGAACGAUUGAAAUAGUGGUGGUGAAAUAGUAAGGCCCGAAUGGUUAAGAGGCCUGUGGAUCGAUAGGUUUGAAUUCUACUCGUGCCGCAUGAGUUUGUAUACCAGUCUGACUCAUGUAGUUUUGAUAGAUCACUACCUGACUACCCUUCAGGUGAAGGAAAACAUCGUGAGGAAACCUGCACACUGGUUGAUUAUUAGCUUGUGUAUGAAAUGGAGAAGGCAAUGGCAAACUACUCGAUUAAUAGUACCAAGAAAGUUGUUGUAUGCGUUUCACUCCACGUAAUGACCACGACCCUCAGCCAUGAGGAAAUAUGACUAUGAAGAAGGAUCUAAAAAUAAUUUAACUAUAUAGAGAAGGAUUUGAGUGAGACAAUAUAGUUAAGA